ACAAGUUCAAAGAGACUGACCUUCAAGCUUCGCCAUCCAUAUUUUAGGAAUUACCUAAUAGGCGCUAACACAUCCAUCUUAUAAGAAUAGAAGAAAAUGAAUGCACAAUGAACAAAAUAGCUUAACAUAGCUAAAACACAUGUCAUGGGUGUAAACUAUAUAUGCAGUUUUUCAACACACAAGUGAUAACUGAAGUUUUGCAAAGCAAACAUUACAAAACGGCAAGAUGCUUACUCAACAAAUUCAUUCGGCAAUUGAGACCAUUAAGUCUAUUUUUUCUUUUAAGAAAAAUCUAUCCAAACAACAUCUGAACAAAAUUAUACAAAUAACAAACUCUUAAUUAAUGCUCUUAGUGAAACACUAACUACUAGAAAAGGACAGACCAAUUUUGGCAUAAUUAUGUUGAAAAUACCCAAAUAAUUCAUUAUUGCCUAAAUCAAAAACUCAAGAUAGUGAUGGUAGAAGCACACGAUUCGCAAGAUUAAUUUUGAAACAAAUAAGAACCAAUAACAAUUUUAUCCAUGACAAAGUUUCAGUCAAAACCGAGAACAUAUCAAUAUAUAACACCAAACAAUUCAGAAUUUUAUUUUAUAGAUUUGGUAGAUAACUACACAAGAAUCUGACACACCUGACAAUAGGAAAUCGGGAGGAACCGACCAAAUAAAAGUCUGAAAUACAGGAUUAAAGUUCAAACAUCAGCAGAGAAAAGGAACAAGAACGAAACUCCUCAGCAAACCCAGAGAAUCGAUACCAAAAACCAGAAGAAGUCGAAGCUAGUCCCUUAAAUUCCGACUUCCCUUUUUUUUUUUGUUCGAAACUUUUUUUUAAAAGAUUUUUUUAGAUCUUUUUUAAUUGUAGAGUGUUUCUGCGUUGCGUCUGUGGGGCGACGGACUAGGACGGGCAACGGUAUGGGCUUUUAGGCUGUUUUUAUGGUUUAAAAAUGGGGCAACAGUAGUACCUAUUUAAGGAGAAAAUAGAGGUGUUUGGGUGGUGGAUUGGCUAUAUGGUCUUGUGAUUUGAGUGUAAUAUGAAACUUCCAUGUGUUUCUCUUGAGGAAGAAGAGGGAGGGACGGCUGUCUUGAGAAGAUGAAAGGAUUAGAGUGGCUAGGAUUUUUUGUUUAAAGGGC
rnacentral:lncRNA from 1 species